rnacentral:rRNA from 1 species
GACGUAGGGCGCGAGCGUUGUCCGGAUUUAUUGGGCGUAAAGAGCUCGUAGGCGGCCAACUAAGUCAGACGUGAAAUCCCUCGGCUUAACCGGGGAACUGCGUCUGAUACUGGAUGGCUAGAGGUUGGGAGAGGGAUGCGGAAUUCCAGGUGUAGCGGUGAAAUGCGUAGAUAUCUGGAGGAACACCGGUGGCGAAGGCGGCAUCCUGGACCAAUUCUGACGCUGAGUGAGCGAAAGCCAGGGGAGCAAACGGG